rnacentral:lncRNA from 1 species
GUCUUCUGUGUCGCUCACGCUGGGAGCUGUAGACCGGAGCUGUUCCUAUUCGGCCAUCUUGGCUCCUCCUCUGUACCAGCAGGAAACACCUUAGUGUCAUAUUUCUGCAUUAAUCAUGGAAUCUAUUUUCAUUUAAAACCCCAAACAGAAGGAAACAGGGAUUAAUUGUGUCUGCCCAGUAUGGCAUGAAGGUUUCAUCACCUGUGGUAACUCCAGUUGAUUGAAGGUGGUUACAUGAAGAGAUAUGUUGGAACAAAUUGUGAGACACUGUUAGGGCUCUGCUGGCAAGUGUGGUUACCUAUGAGUAAUGACUACUAUGGGUGCUGAAGGUGUGAGGGAAGGUGCAAGUGCUUAGGUAUUUGCUGUCUAUAUCUUAAGUCUUCGGCAUAUAAUUACCACGUGUCCUUGGGAAGAAGGGAGGUCUCAAAAUCAUCCCUGGAUAAUUUCUUUGGUUUUUCGCCUCUUUCCAUCAUUUAGUCUUUCUUUAUCCCUUUCUGAUAUCUACUGUACAUUUAAUUAAGCUUAGCAGUAUAGAGAUAGAAAACAGGCUGCAAAUAUUAUCCCCAUACCUAACCAAGACUCUCAUUUAAAUCACUGGCAAUGUAAUUCUUGCUUGCCCCACACCAUUGAUUUGCAUAUUUUGGUGGGUAAAACAAUCACCUGAGGACAUGGUUUCAAAUAUAAGCUCUGGCUUUUACUCCCAAGAGAUUCAGAUUAGAAAUAGAUGCAUUUGAUCUGUAUCUUAACUGAGAUACAUUUGAUCAGUUUCAACUGAGAUACAUUUUGAAACUGAUCUGCAUUUAAAAGGCACUCUGAGUAUCUGUGAGGCAGAAGACUUUGGACCAUAAUUUGAGCAACACUACCCUAAACUCAGAUAAAUUGCUCUUUUUACCCAGGAGCUGGGACAGGAUUUAAUAUGAGCCACAGCGUCAGUCCUUCUGUCUACCUCCAGGGGAACUAGUACUCUUUUUUUUUU